UACGUAGGGGGCAAGCGUUGUCCGGAAUCAUUGGGCGUAAAGAGCGUGUAGGCGGUUCGGUAAGUCGGCUGUGAAAGUCCAGGGCUCAACCCUGGGAUGCCGGUCGAUACUGCCGGACUAGAGUUCGGAAGAGGCGAGUGGAAUUCCCGGUGUAGCGGUGAAAUGCGCAGAUAUCAGGAGGAACACCAAUUGCGAAGGCAGCUCGCUGGGACGUUACUGACGCUGAGACGCGAAAGCGUGGGGAGCAAACAGG
rnacentral:rRNA from 1 species